rnacentral:lncRNA from 1 species
GUGAUUAUUAUGCAUUGCAUGCCUGUGUCAAAACAUCUCAUGUGCCUCAUAAAUACAUAUACCCACUAUGUACCCACGAAAAUUAAAAAUAAAAGAUGGAAAGCCUUGGGGAGGGGGAGAAGAAUGGGUGUGACCAUUGGAGUGGUGAUGGCUCUGUGCAGUGUAAUCACCAGACUUUGUCAGUGUCAGUCCCACAAGUGACUCGGGGCAGGUAGCAGGG